GGAGAUCGAGCUCCAUGGGAGCCAAAACCCUAACAAGACUAAAUCACCAAAUUGAAGGGUUUAUUAUGGCUCAAAUUCAAGAAAGAACAUGGAUUAAUGAUCACCUAAGUAUUUCCUACAUCAAUGAGGUGUAGAUGAUAAGCAUCAUGUCAAGAGGACGCAAGCACAAAUGGCAAUCGGGUCAAGAGGAGACAAGGAAACGGUCACGAAUACGGACGCUUAAGGUAGUACGAAUCACAGAUUUUUCAUUCCAAG